rnacentral:rRNA from 1 species
UUAAGCGACUAAGCGUACACGGUGGAUGCCCUGGCAGUCAGAGGCGAUGAAGGACGUGCUAAUCUGCGAAAAGCGUCGGUAAGGUGAUAUGAACCGUUACAGCCGGCGAUGUCCGAAUGGGGAAACCCAGUGCAAUUCGUUGCACUAUCGUUUGAUGAAUACAUAGUCAAACGAGGCGAACCGGGGGAACUGAAACAUCUAAGUACCCCGAGGAAAAGAAAUCAACCGAGAUUCCCCCAGUAGCGGCGAGCGAACGGGGAGCAGCCCGGAGUCUGAAUCAGCUUGUGUGUUAGUGGAAGCGUCUGGAAAGUCGCAGGGUACAGGGUGAUACUCCCGUACACUAAAACGCACAGGUUGUGAACUCGAAGAGUAGGGCGGGACACGUGGUAUCCUGUCUGAAUAUGGGGGGACCAUCCUCCAAGGCUAAAUACUCCUGACUGACCGAUAGUGAACCAGUACCGUGAGGGAAAGGCGAAAAGAACCCCGGCGAGGGGAGUGAAAAAGAACCUGAAACCGUGUACGUACAAGCAGUAGGAGCCCACUUGUUGGGUGACUGCGUACCUUUUGUAUAAUGGGUCAGCGACUUAUAUUCUGUAGCAAGGUUAACCGUAUAGGGGAGCCGCAGGGAAACCGAGUCUUAACUGGGCGUUAAGUUGCAGGGUAUAGACCCGAAACCCGGUGAUCUAGCCAUGGGCAGGUUGAAGGUUGGGUAACACUAACUGGAGGACCGAACCGACUAAUGUUGAAAAAUUAGCGGAUGACUUGUGGCUGGGGGUGAAAGGCCAAUCAAACCGGGAGAUAGCUGGUUCUCCCCGAAAGCUAUUUAGGUAGCGCCUCGUGAACUCAUCUUCGGGGGUAGAGCACUGUUUCGGCUAGGGGGUCAUCCCGACUUACCAACCCGAUGCAAACUACGAAUACCGAAGAAUGUUAUCACGGGAGACACACGGCGGGUGCUAACGUCCGUCGUGAAGAGGGAAACAACCCAGACCGCCAGCUAAGGUCCCAAAGUCAUGGUUAAGUGGGAAACGAUGUGGGAAGGCCCAGACAGCCAGGAUGUUGGCUUAGAAGCAGCCAUCAUUUAAAGAAAGCGUAAUAGCUCACUGGUCGAGUCGGCCUGCGCGGAAGAUGUAACGGGGCUAAACCAUGCACCGAAGCUGCGGCAGCGACACUAUGUGUUGUUGGGUAGGGGAGCGUUCUGUAAGCCGUUGAAGGUGGCCUGUGAGGGUUGCUGGAGGUAUCAGAAGUGCGAAUGCUGACAUAAGUAACGAUAAUGCGGGUGAAAAACCCGCACGCCGGAAGACCAAGGGUUCCUGUCCAACGUUAAUCGGGGCAGGGUGAGUCGACCCCUAAGGCGAGGCCGAAAGGCGUAGUCGAUGGGAAACAGGUUAAUAUUCCUGUACUUGGUGUUACUGCGAAGGGGGGACGGAGAAGGCUAUGUUGGCCGGGCGACGGUUGUCCCGGUUUAAGCGUGUAGGUGUGUGUUCCAGGUAAAUCCGGUUCACUUUAACACUGAGGCGUGAUGACGAGGCACUACGGUGCUGAAGUGACAAAUGCCCUGCUUCCAGGAAAAGCCUCUAAGCAUCAGGUAACAUCAAAUCGUACCCCAAACCGACACAGGUGGUCAGGUAGAGAAUACCAAGGCGCUUGAGAGAACUCGGGUGAAGGAACUAGGCAAAAUGGUGCCGUAACUUCGGGAGAAGGCACGCUGAUACGUAGGUGAAGUGAUUUACUCAUGGAGCUGAAAUCAGUCGAAGAUACCAGCUGGCUGCAACUGUUUAUUAAAAACACAGCACUGUGCAAACACGAAAGUGGACGUAUACGGUGUGACGCCUGCCCGGUGCCGGAAGGUUAAUUGAUGGGGUUAUCCGUAAGGAGAAGCUCUUGAUCGAAGCCCCGGUAAACGGCGGCCGUAACUAUAACGGUCCUAAGGUAGCGAAAUUCCUUGUCGGGUAAGUUCCGACCUGCACGAAUGGCGUAAUGAUGGCCAGGCUGUCUCCACCCGAGACUCAGUGAAAUUGAACUCGCUGUGAAGAUGCAGUGUACCCGCGGCAAGACGGAAAGACCCCGUGAACCUUUACUAUAGCUUGACACUGAACACUGGUCCUUGAUGUGUAGGAUAGGUGGGAGGCUUUGAAGCGUGGACGCCAGUCUGCGUGGAGCCAUCCUUGAAAUACCACCCUUUAAUGGCUGGUGUUCUAACGUGGGCCCGUAAUCCGGGUUGCGGACAGUGUCUGGUGGGUAGUUUGACUGGGGCGGUCUCCUCCUAAAGAGUAACGGAGGAGCACGAAGGUCAGCUAAUCCUGGUCGGACAUCAGGAGGUUAGUGCAAUGGCAUAAGCUGGCUUGACUGCGAGCGUGACGGCGCGAGCAGGUGCGAAAGCAGGUCAUAGUGAUCCGGUGGUUCUGAAUGGAAGGGCCAUCGCUCAACGGAUAAAAGGUACUCCGGGGAUAACAGGCUGAUACCGCCCAAGAGUUCAUAUCGACGGCGGUGUUUGGCACCUCGAUGUCGGCUCAUCACAUCCUGGGGCUGAAGUAGGUCCCAAGGGUAUGGCUGUUCGCCAUUUAAAGUGGUACGCGAGCUGGGUUUAGAACGUCGUGAGACAGUUCGGUCCCUAUCUGCCGUGGGCGCUGGAGAAUUGAGGGGGGCUGCUCCUAGUACGAGAGGACCGGAGUGGACGCAUCACUGGUGUUCGGGUUGUCAUGCCAAUGGCAUUGCCCGGUAGCUAAAUGCGGAAGAGAUAAGUGCUGAAAGCAUCUAAGUACGAAACUUGCCCCGAGAUGAGUUCUCCCUGACUCCUUGAGAGUCCUGAAGGAACGUUGAAGACGACGACGUUGAUAGGCCGGGUGUGUAAGCGCAGCGAUGCGUUGAGCUAACCGGUACUAAUGAACCGUGAGGCUUAACCU